rnacentral:lncRNA from 1 species
UGAUAUUAAGUUUUUUGAGUUCUUUACAUAUCCUGGAGAUUAAUGCUCUAUCUCAGGUGCAUGUAGUAAAGAUUUUCUCCCAUUCUGUAGACUCUCUUUAUGUUAUUUUUUAAUAUUCUAUUUAGAGACAGGGUCUUACUAAGAUGAUUAGGGCCUCGCUAAGUUGCUGAGACUGGCUUUGAACUUGUGAUCCUUCUGCCUCAGCCUCCUGAGCCACUGGGAUACUUCUCCUUUCUUGACACUUAGAUCAGGCACUGGAAUGCAAGAAUAUUCAUGCCUAAGGCUAUCUAGUGGUUAAGUUUGUGGCUAGGGCUGACACCCUGAGAAGUUUCAUUCAGUCCAUAUCGUGGCUCAGACACAAGCUUCUGCCUGGAAGCACCUAGCAUGAUUUUUUCUGCACUGUGAAACUAUCUCCACUGGUGGAGAAGCUUAGCAGGCUUUGCAACUAUUGGCUUCUAUUGACCAAUCAAUCACAUGCCUGACUCUUAGGACGACAGCAUAUACCCACCUCCAGGCUGGACCCCAUCUCCAGGCUGGACUGCUUGCAGUAUCUACCCUGCACUCCACAGCGUUGGGUGUUUCUUUACAUCCCAACCCUUACUCUGCUGUGCUUGUGAUCCUUCUCCCACUCCAGCAGAGCAGGGGCUUCCUUAGGACUGUGACAGUCAUUUCUUUCUCUACUCCCUGGCAAUAGUAGUUCCCCAGCCCCUUAAUAAAGUUUUAAAUGAAUAAAUGAAAGAAAGAAUGAAUGAAUGAGUACAUUUUCCUUCCUUACAGGCCUAAACCAGCACAGAUCACUUCUUCUUUUCCCCAAAAGUGUCCUUUGUUUCUUCUCCCUGAGGGGACUGUUUUAUGGGUUUCUUGAAUCCUUCCCAGGCACACAGUAGUGUAACCACAAGA